rnacentral:rRNA from 1 species
UACGGAGGGUGCGAGCGUUGUCCGGAAUCACUGGGCGUAAAGGGCGCGUAGGCGGCCUGAUAAGUAGGGGGUGAAAUCCUGCGGCUUAACCGCAGGGCUGCCUUCUAAACUGUCAGGCUGGAGCACAGUAGAGGCAGGUGGAAUUCCCGGUGUAGCGGUGAAAUGCGUAGAGAUCGGGAGGAACACCAGUGGCGAAGGCGGCUACCUGGACCAGCACUGACACUGAAGCACGAAAGCGUGGGGAGCAAACAGG